GAAGCGGCAACAGCUCAAAUUUGAAACCUGGCGCUUGCGUCCGGAUUGUAAUUUGUAGAGGAUGCUUCUGGGCAGCGGCCGUUCUAAGUUCCUUGGAACAGGACGUCAUAGAGGGUGAGAAUCCCGUAUGUGACCGGCGCGCACCCUCCACGUAGCUCCUUCGACGAGUCGAGUUGUUUGGGAAUGCAGCUCUAAAUGGGAGGUAAAUUUCUUCUAAAGCUAAAUAUUGGCCAGAGACCGAUAGCGCACAAGUAGAGUGAUCGAAAGAUGAAAAGCACUUUGGAAAGAGAGUUAAAAAGCACGUGAAAUUGUUGAAAGGGAAGCGCUUCCAACCAGACUCCGCGGCGGUGUUCCGCCGGUCUUCUGACCGGUUCACUCGCCGCCGUGGGGCCAACAUCGUCUGGGGCCGCCGGAUAAGACCGGAGGAAUGUAGCUCAUUGAGUGUUAUAGCCUCCGGUGAUGCGGCGCGUCCCGGGCGAGGUCCGCGCUUCGGCAAGGAUGUUGGCGUAAUGGUUGGCAGCGGCCCGUCUUGAAACACGGACCAAGGAGUCUAACAUCUAUGCGAGUGUUCGGGUGUCAAACCCCUACGCGUAAUGAAAGUGAACGGAGGUGGGAGCUUCGGCGCACCAUCGACCGAUCCUGAUGUCCUCGGAUGGAUUUGAGUAAGAGCAUAGCUGUUGGGACCCGAAAGAUGGUGAACUAUGCCUGAAUAGGGUGAAGCCAGAGGAAACUCUGGUGGA
rnacentral:rRNA from 1 species